rnacentral:rRNA from 1 species
CUUAAAUUGAAGAGUUUGAUCAUGGCUCAGAUUGAACGCUGGCGGCAGGCCUUACACAUGCAAGUCGAGCGGAAACGAGUUAUCUGAACCUUCGGGGGACGAUAGCGGCGUCGAGCGGCG